rnacentral:rRNA from 1 species
GAUGAACGCUGGCGGCGUGCCUAAUACAUGCAAGUCGAGCGAACGGACGAGAAGCUUGCUUCUCUGAUGUUAGCGGCGGACGGGUGAGUAACACGUGGAUAACCUACCUAUAAGACUGGGAUAACUUCGGGAAACCGGAGCUAAUACCGGAUGAUAUUUUGAACCGCAUGGUUCAAAAGUGAAAGACGGUCUUGCUGUCACUUAUAGAUGGAUCCGCGCUGCAUUAGCUAGUUGGUAAGGUAACGGCUUACCAAGGCAACGAUGCAUAGCCGACCUGAGAGGGUGGUCGGCCACCCUGGAACUGAGACACGGUCCAGACUCCUACGGGAGGCAGCAGUAGGGAAUCUUCCGCAAUGGGCGAAAGCCUGACGGAGCAACGCCGCGUGAGUGAUGAAGGUCUUCGGAUCGUAAAACUCUGUUAUUAGGGAAGAACAUAUGUGUAAGUAACUGUGCACAUCUUGACGGUACCUAAUCAGAAAGCCACGGCUAACUACGUG